ensembl:lncRNA
GCUAUAUACAGGGGGUACCGGUACAGAGUCAAUGUGGAGGCUAUAUACAGGGGGUACCAGUACAGAGUCAAUGUGGAGGCUAUAUACAGGGGGUACCGGUACAGAGUCAAUGUGGAGGCUAUAUACAGGGUGUACCGGUACAGAGUCAAUGUGGAGGCUAUAUACAGGGGGUACCAGUACAGAGUCAAUGUGGAGGCUAUAUACAGGGUGUACCGGUACAGAGUCAAUGUGGAGGCUAUAUACAGGGGGUACCGGUACAGAGUCAAUGUGGAGGCUAUAUACAGGGGGUACCGGUACAGAGUCAAUGUGGAGGCUAUAUACAGGGGGUACCGGUACAGAGUCAAUGUGGAGGCUAUAUACAGGGGGUACCGGUACAGAGUCAAUGUGGAGGCUAUAUACAGGGUAUUACGGCACAGAGUCAAUGUGGAGGCUAUAUACAGGGGGUACCGGUACAGAGUCAAUGUGGAGGCGAUAUACAGGGGGUA